UACGUAGGGUGCAAGCGUUGUCCGGAAUUAUUGGGCGUAAAGAGCUUGUAGGCGGUUUGUCGCGUCUGCUGUGAAAUUUCGGGGCUCAACCCCGAACUUGCAGUGGGUACGGGCAGACUAGAGUGUGGUAGGGGAGACUGGAAUUCCUGGUGUAGCGGUGAAAUGCGCAGAUAUCAGGAGGAACACCGGUGGCGAAGGCGGGUCUCUGGGCAUUACCUGACGCUGAGGAGCGAAAGUGUGGGGAGCGAACAGG
rnacentral:rRNA from 1 species